rnacentral:rRNA from 1 species
UUAGUUGCUAACAGUUCGGCUGAGGAACUCUAAUGAGACUGCCUUCGUAAGGAGGAGGAAGGUGAGGACGACGUCAAGUCAUCAUGGCCCUUAUGGCCAGGGCUACACACGUGCUACAAUGGGUGUACAGAGAGCUGCGAUACGGUGACGUGGAGCAAAUCUCAAAACACCUCCAGUUCGGAUUGUUCUCUGCAACUCGAGAACAUGAAGUUGGAAUCGCUAGUAAUCGUAGAUCAGCAAUGCUACGGUGAAUACGUUCCCGGGUCUU